AUGGUCUCAUGCUAUGAUCAAACUACAAAGAAAUCCUAUAUGCACUUUGCAAUAAACGCAUGCUUGGCUCCACUUUAUUCUUUGGAAGGAAUGCACAUAAUGACAGUCGAGGGAAUUGGUGAUCGCCGGCGAGGUUUGCACCCAGUCCAGGAACGAUUAGCCGAGGCACAUGGUUCACAAUUUGGAUUUUGCACCCCUGGUUUUGUGAUGUCCAUGUAUGCGCUGCUGAGAUCAAGUAAAUAUCCCCCUACUAAAGAGCAGAUUGAAGACAACCUUGCAGGAAAUUUGUGUCGCUGUACUGGCUACAGACCAAUAAUAGAUGCCUUCGGUGUUUUUGCAAAAACAGAUGAUUCCUUCUACACUGCUUCACUUUCAGAAAAUGUUAAUGGCCAAGCUAUCUGCCCUUCAACUGGGAAGCCAUGUUCAUGCAGAAAUGAGACAGAUGUUGAUGCUAAUGAAUCUUCAUUAUUGUCUUUGGUGAAAACCUACUUACCUAGUUCAUAUAAUGAAAUUGAUGGAAAUGCAUACAAUGAGAAGGAGCUCAUUUUUCCUCCAGAACUUCAGUUGAGAAAAAUUAUGCCACUUAAAUUGAAUGGGCUUAAUGGGAUUCGGUGGUAUAGACCUCUUAAACUAGAGCAGCUACUGCAGCUGAAAUCAUGCUACCCAGAUGCUAAACUUAUCAUUGGUAACUCUGAAGUGGGAGUUGAAACAAAGUUCAAGAAUGCUCAAUAUAAGGUCAUGAUCUCAAUUAUGCAUGUUCCAGAGCUUCAAACCCUCAAAAUGGAAGAAGAAGGCAUACGAAUCGGUUCUGCAGUUAAACUUGCAUGGCUCCAGAUGUUCCUAAAAAAAGUUAUUGCAGAGCGCGGUUCUCAUCAAACUUCGUCUUGCCAGGCAAUACUACGACAGUUAAAAUGGUUUGCUGGAACACAAAUCAGGAAUGUUGCUUCUGUUGGUGGUAACAUUUGUACUGCUAGUCCAAUAUCAGACCUAAAUCCAGUUUGGAUGGCUACAGGUGCAAAAUUCCAGAUAAUUGAUGUUAACAAUAAUGUUAGGACCACGAUUGCAAAAGAUUUCUUUCUUGGUUACCAUAAAGUUGAUUUGAAGGAUGAUGAAAUAUUGCUCUCUGUUAUACUACCAUGGACAAGACCAUUUGAGUAUGUCAAAGAAUUUAAACAGGCACAUAGAAGGCAGGAUGACAUUGCUUUGGUGAAUGCUGGGAUGCGUGUGCAUAUAACAGAAGCUGAAGGUAGCUGGAUAGUAUCUGAUGUCUCUAUUGUCUAUGGAGGGGUAGCUGCAGUGCCACUCACAGAUGGAAAAACUGAAAGUUUGCUUGUUGGAAACAAGAUGGACUAUGGCUUGUUGGAUGAGGCCUUCAAUUUGUUAAAAGAGGACACCCCACUAGCAGAGAAUGCACCAGGUGGAAUGGUUGAAUUUCGCAGUUCACUUACUUUGAGUUUCUUUUUCAAAAUUUUCCUUUAUGUAACACAUGAGAUGAACACUAAGGGGUUGUCAAAGGAGGGGCUGUAUGUAGCUAGUAUGUCAGCUAUACAGUCGUACACUAGGCCUUUUACAAUUGGAACUCAAGGUUAUGAAUUAGUGCAGCAAGGAACUGUUGUGGGUCAACCAAUGGUUCCUUUGUCAGCUACGCUUCAGGUGACUGCUGAGGCAGAAUAUGUUGAUGACACACCAACACCCCCGAAUACCUUGCAUGCUGCUCUGGUACUGAGUAAGGAGGCUCACGCUCGCAUUUUGUCUAUUGAUGAUUCAGUUGCCAAAUGUUCCCCUGGGUUCGCUGGUCUCUUCCUCUCAAAAGAUGUGCCCGGUGCUAACAGUAUUGGGCCAAUUAGAUUCCUCCACAAAAAGAAUAUUGGGCCAAUUAUCCAUGAUGGGGAGAUCAUCGGAAUCGUUGUGGCAGACACCCAUGAUAAUGCAAAAGCUGCUGCAAAUAAAGUAAAUAUCAAGUAUUCUAAGCUGCCAGCAAUCCUCUCAAUAGAGGAAGCUAUCAAAGCUAGUAGUUUUCAUCCACAUACCACAAGAUGCCUUUCGAAAGGGGAUGUUGAACUAUGUUUUGCAUCCAAUACAUGCGAUAAAGUUAUAGAAGGAGAAGUUCUAGUCGGAGGUCAAGAGCACUUCUACAUGGAACCUCAAUGCACUCUUGUCUGGCCAGUUGAUUCUGGAAAUGAAAUUCAUAUGAUCUCAUCUACUCAAGCUCCCCAUACACAUCAGAUGUAUGUUGCUAAUGUUCUUGGUCUUCCACUAUCAAAAGUUGUUUGCAAGACUAAGCGUAUUGGUGGCGGAUUUGGUGGAAAAGAAACUAGAUCAGUAAUAUUUGCUGCAGCAGCGUCUGUAGCUGCCUAUUGUCUAAGAAGGCCAGUAAAGAUUGUUUUGGAUAGGGAUGUUGACAUGAUGACAACUGGGCAAAGACACGGUUUUUUGGGGAAAUAUAAGGUUGGAUUUACCAAUGACGGGAAGAUACUGGCCUUAGACCUUGAAAUUUAG
rnacentral:rRNA from 1 species